rnacentral:rRNA from 1 species
GACGAACGCUGGCGGCGUGCCUAAUACAUGCAAGUCGAGCGGAACUGGGGGAGCUUGCUCCUUCCAGUUUAGCGGCGAACGGGUGAGUAACACGUGGGCAACCUGCCCUGCAGCUCGGGAUAACUCCGGGAAACCGGUGCUAAUACCGAAUAGUUUGGCGCCUCUCCUGAGGCGCUACGGAAAUACGGUUUCGGCUGGCACUGCAGGCAGGCCCCGCGGCACAUUUGCUAGUUGGUGGGGUAACGGCCCACCAAGGCGACGAUGCGUAGCCGACCUGAGAGGGUGACCGGCCACACUGGGACUGAGACACGGCCCAGACUCCUACGGGAGGUAGCAGUAGGGAAUCUUCCGCAAUGGACGCAAGUCUGACGGAGCAACGCCGCGUGAGUGACGAAGGUUUUCGGAUCGUAAAACUCUGUUGUGAGGGAAGAACACGUACCAACUAACUAUUGGUACCUUGACGGUACCUCACCAGAAAGCCACGGCUAACUACGUGCCAGCAGCCGCCGUAA